rnacentral:rRNA from 1 species
UAAUAUUNCCAGGUUAGUAGUAGUUAUGUGCUUGAAAAUUAAAGAAGAUGGCGGUAUUUUAGUCUAUUCAGAGGAACCUGUCCUGUAAUCGAUGAUCCACGAUUUAUUAUACUUAUUUUUUAAGUUUGCAUAUCGCUGUAGAUGGAAUGUCCUUUAAGGGUUUAUAAACAUUCAAGAGGUUUUAUUUUGUGAAAGUAAAUCAGGUCAAGAUGUAGCUGAUAAAUAAGAAGAGAUGGGUUACAAUAAAUUUAUUUAUAACGGAUUAAUAUAUGAAAUUUAUUAUAAAGGUGGAUUUGAAGGNAAUUUUAUAUAAAUUUAU